rfam:Vicugna pacos cont1.306002, whole genome shotgun sequence.
GCCUGAAUCGAAGGUCAUAGCAUAAAUUCUUAGCGCCGGCCGUCCCAAGACAGGGCGAAGGGAGCGGCGGCACACGGUUCGCGGCGCCAGGGUGGCAAGAGCAGGCCAAGGUGGCAGUGGACAGCACGCAGAACAUCAGCCGCGCCUCCAGCCGCAGCGCUGAUGCCGGGAAAGAACCGCCUCUCCGGGAUCGCCGCAGUGUGCUUCA